rnacentral:rRNA from 1 species
GACGAAGGGGGCUAGCGUUGUUCGGAAUUACUGGGCGUAAAGCGUGUGUAGGUGGUUGUCCAAGUUGGAUGUGAAAGCCUUGAGCUCAACUCAAGAAAUGCAUUCAGGACUGGAUGACUAGAGGACCGGAGAGGAUAGUGGAAUUCCCAGUGUAGUGGUGAAAUACGUAGAGAUUGGGAAGAACACCAGUGGCGAAGGCGGCUAUCUGGACGGUUUCUGACGCUAAGACGCGAAAGCGUGGGGAGCAAACAGG